GCCAGGAUGGCAUAGUGGUUUGAGCAUUGGACUAUUACUCUAGAGUCUAGAGAGUAUGGUUCAAUUCCCCAUUUGGCC